rnacentral:lncRNA from 1 species
CCACCAUGGCCACAGAGCAGCAGAGCAGGGUUGGAUUUCAUUAGCUGUGACCCACGUGACCAGAGCUGCCCUCUGUCCCUCAGACACAAGUAUUUUAAAAGGAAAGUUUUAUUAUUAAUCAGAGAUGGAGGUAAAUAGAAAACCGGUAUCUGUGUAUUACACAUAGAAAGUCACCAUAAAAAUAAACACAAUGAAUACUCUUCAGCAAAGGGAAUGAAAAAUCUGCAACUACAUACCACUGAACACAAAUGGAAAUCACCAACAACAGGUUGAGGGAGCGAAGCUGAGCCCAGGUUUGGAGGGGCAUUGGAAGGGAAAUGACUUUCUCACUGUGCAAUGCCAGGCUUUGUUCAAGCAUUUGGGGAAACAAUGAGGAGGCAGCUUAUUCCCAGCUCCAGCAACAAGAGACCUUUCCCCUCGCUGGAGCAUGCAGCAUCAAAAGAAAAGAAGAGAGAUUUAGGAGGAGAACAAAGCAAGAUAACACUGACAAGGCUGAGAAGAAGGGCUGGCGUGGCAAUGCUCCUCCACCUGAGCCAGCAGCCCCUGGGACUCAUCCCUCUGCGUCCCUCUGAGGUUGUUGGGUGUUUUUCAAUAUUAAGAUAUGAUUCACACGCCACAUGUUCCAUACUUUUAAAGUAUAUGAUUAAAAAAAACCAAAGUGUACAAUUCAGUGGUUUUUAGUAUAUUUAUAAAGCUGUGCAAUCAUCACCACUAUUUAACCACAAAACAGUUUCAUUACCUCAGAAAGAAACCUCAUACCCAUUAGCCACCAACCCUCCCGCUCCCACUCAACUCCUCCAUACUCUGCUGCCUCCCAGUAAAUUAGAUAACCACAGAUCUACUUUCUAUCCCCCUGGGCUUACCUAUUCUGGGC